AGUAUGCCUCUAAAAUUUUUUCGAUUUCGUCAGCCAAACUUUUCCGAUUUUAUACUUAUGAUAAUACCUAUGCAUAAACAAAAUUUUUUAAAAUUAAAUUUGGCUUGUAUAACCACACAAUGUUAAUUCUUUUUUAUAUUACUUUCCAUGGAAUACGUUUUCUUAACCGCUUGGGAAAAAAUAGAGCUUGCUUUGAUAUGUGAUAUUAAUAUUUUUCUUUAUAACAACAUAUACGAAGUUAUCCUAGCAGACGAAACCAAAUUUAAAACGUCAAUGUAUGCAAGAUUCGUAUCCUUUUGUUGAGCUUGCAAAGCUCGGACGAGCUUUUUGCUGGGAUCAAGGGAUGAGGAUCUCUUUAACCCCACCAAACCCUUGAAAUUGUUUUUCAGCGUUUUGUUUUGUUUCGCUUCGCCUAGAAAAAGCGUCGCAAUAAAAACAGGAAUCCGAAAAAAGCAAAAGUGAGUGGCAAACACAGAUAAAAGUGCGCAGAUACGAUACAUUUUAGGGAUGUGAAAGGGGGGAGAAUAAUGAAUGAAAGAAUGGCAGAGAGAGCCACCAAAGAGCGAGCCAGAGAGAUAAAGAGAGAGUCAGUUUGAAGGCCAUUGCGAAGGAGUCACAUGUGCUUUUCGGGUUUUUGAGAGGUGUGUGGGGCAGUAGGGCAAGAGUGGAAGACUGCCCAAAAGCAGGCCCAAGAAACAGGAACAGGAAGAAUCGAAAAACUUGACGAAAGAGAGCACACGAGAGCGAGUGUUUGUUGAAAGAUAGAAACUCUGCCGACGUCGACGCCGGCCGAGGCAGCGCUGCGGCAGAGGCGAGAACUUUCCAUGGUAGACGAAAAAGCGGCGACAUUGAACAGCGGCACCUUCGACCGAUCGCAUUUGCCUUUUAACCAGCUAAUAAAUAAAAAAUAAAACAAUAAAUAAUACUUAAAACACUUUUCAAACAUCCCCAAAAUAAAAUAGUGUUUGUGUAAGGAUUAGGGCUUCUUGGCCCAAAAGUGACGCAUCAGUUUUCUGAGCGAAAAUCAAACCAAACAAAGUGCAUGAUAGAAAACAAAAAAGUAUCGGCAAACACACAGACAAAAAGAAAUGUGGCAGAAAACAGCAGAAUGGUGGUGAGCUGCGUCAGCAUGGAAAUUUAAUUAGCGACAGUUCAGUUCAGCUGAGCAGCGCUAAGUCGAAAGGAUUGGACUGCCCCGCCCCCCGGCGGAACCCCCACCACGCCCACUUGGAGAGAGGGGAGAUUUCGUUGAUUUUUGCAUGACGACAGCAAAAAGCGAAAAGGCGGAACAACAAUCGAAAUGCAACUGCACGCGUGUGUGUGGGUGAGCGAGCGAGGAGGCCUGUAUUAAGCAGACAUGCGCUCUUGCUCAGCGACUUGAACUUGAAAACUUUUUACUGCCGGCAAAAAAAAAUGUGAGUGGGAGAGCGAGCACGCGAGAGAGAGCCCCCAGCAGGUAAGUAUGUGUGCGAGUGUUUGCCAUUGAUUAGGUUAAACAAAAACAAAAUCAGAGCAGAGCGCAAGCUUCGCUCUCGCAGCUUUCGGUUUUCGGGAGAGCAGCUUUUGCGUGGGCGGCUUAGGACAGCGUGGCUGACGUCGCUGCCGACGUCGGCCAACUGUUUGCUGUUGUAGUCACAUACUGUUGCAUACUUAAGGGGAUAGGAGGAUGUGGGUGGAAAGCGGAGCGAAAAUCGGGGUGAAAAGCGGGAAAAAACGGCCAGGAGAACGGGGUGUGGGGUGUGGGGAACUGACCUCCACCUGUACGAGCCCAGCUGCAGCUUCCCUGCUGGCCAAGUUUAUUCGGUGACGAGCGGGCAGCCGAUGAGGUCAGCAUCACGCAUACGCCUAGUUAUCCACUGGAUUCCCCCGUAUCCUGUUCGGUGCUUACGUGUGCGUGUGUGUGUGUGUGCGGUUCGGUUCCAAGUUCAUUUUAAAGGCGCGUCGCCCAAAACAGCAAAAUCAGGUGUGGAGAAUUGAUUAGCACAGCCCGAAAUAGGUAAAAAAUACCAACAAUAUGGUCGAUGUUCCAGUGUGUGUGUGUGCGUGUCUGUGUGUGUACUUACAUACAACUCAAGUGACGCACGCCAGCAUAUGGCAAUUAAAUUUGAAUAAUUAAGCAGCUGAGAAAACAGCGACACGAACCGAACUUUCUCUCUCUCUCUCUCUUUUUUUUCUCUCUCUCUAUCGCACACACGAACCCAGACUUUUGGCAUAUGCAACACACGCUGUGUAUCGUUGCUGUUGUUGUUGUUAUUGUCGUCUUGCACCUUGACCUUUCCACACCCAUGCAGCAGUAGGCGUGGGCAGCACUCAGAUACACACGCCCCCUUCCGGGGAUCGGGGAUACGGAUAUCCGUAUAUAGACGCCUAUGUGGAGCAACCCACAAGUCGGCUGGCAGCUGUUUGCAACCGAAUCUAAGGAGACGCGAUGCAGGCCAAAAACACUUCGGUUAUCCCCCUGGCAAGAGGUCCAGUUUGGGGCAGCGGAAAGUUUUGCACACAAGUCACAGAUGGCAGGAGUGCAAUAAAUUAUACAUUAGCAGAAGUGAGGGAAAACACACAGUUCAAAUAGUGCAGGGGAUAUUAAUGGGAUCCGGUGAAGGAUUUGUGCAAGGAAACAGUUUAAAGAAGGAUAAUUAACUACAGAAAGCAAGAGGAUGAAAAGAGUGCAAUGAAGAGUUUAGCAUUCAAUUUAGUUUUCUAAAAUUAAAAUUUUUAUUAUCAAACAUUAAAAGUAUAAAUAGAUAGCAGAGAUAAGUUGUCUACCACAAUACUUUACCCAUUAAUACAAUUUUUACGCGCACAGUGAAUCAAAGAGAAGUGAAGCAUAUUUCUGAAAACCAAAAUAUGACUUAGUAAGUGAUCUGAAAAUGAGUAAACUUGAAUCGUAAAAGUGCAGCUAGAUAUAACUGUCGUGGAAACUUCAUCUGCAGCUUGGAGCUGAGCAGAGCGACAAAAGUGGUUUGUGUCCCCGCUGAGCUUUUCCGCGAAAAGCUGAUUGUCCAUGUGCAACUGCCGUUGGGAUACACCCUGUGCUCGCUUUGAAUACAAUGCAAGCAAGUGAACACAGCUGGUGGUAUCCAGUGGCCGUUUGGCAUCCUUGCAGCUCCAGAAUCAUCCAGGAUACUUCUCCGAAAACUCAACACAGGGUAAGUCUCUCCGCAAGUCUACCAGUUUCCUGCUCAGGAUAAUACCAUUUGUUUUGCAAGUCCAAUUUAUCAAUAAUUUUCAUUUCGUUAACUUGUUUCUUACUUUCCGUUACGAACCUAAUUUUGCCAUACUAAAAAAAUGUUCUAUUAGCCAUAAGCUUCGGUUCGAUUCAACAAAGUAUUCAUUUCUCCCCAAAAAAAAAAAAAAACAAAAAUAAUAAAAAGAAAACAAUGAAAAGAGAUAAAUUGGAAUUUGAAUAAAAUAACCUUAGGACUUAAGAAUCGUUUAAGAAAACAAUCAGUGAGAAGACAAAAAUUGCAUAUGAUUAUACUCAGCAUUUUCUUGUUACACAUUCAGAAAAGUUAUAAUUUCGCUUUUGGUUUUCCACUUGCUCCGAUUUUCUUUUUAAUUUGAAUCUAUUAUUUACCCCCCUUCCCCAUUUACACGCAAAGAAAGAGGGGGUUGCUUUUGGGGCUUUGAGGUGCGAUGAUGGGCGCAUCGAAUGCAACGCUCUGAAAACUCUUCAAAUCAUUAAUUAUUAUGGCCCGCACAAAAAGCAAACCGUCCGUAGUAAUGAGUGAAAUUUUAGUGCGGAGCGGUCGCCCGUCCAAUCAGCUUUAGAAAUCGCUGGCAGAAACAAUUAAAAAGAUGUUCAUGCUGCAAAUUGAUUUUGUUUCUGAUUUAUAUACACAAAUAUUUCUUUUUUUCGCUCGUUUUUCUCCUGUUUUCACCCAGAGUCGCGUGCACUUGCUGCAAAUCGAAAGCCGUUUGGCAUUUUCUAUUUUCGUUUCGCCUCGGCUUUUUGGCUCACAAGCUGCCAAAGCGAUGCGAUGCGAUGCGAUGCGAUGCGGCAUGGUGCGAAUUGGCCAAGAGUUCUUGGUCCGAACUGCAGCUGUGCAAAGGCAACUUGGUGACAUUAUUUCGACAUUUGCCAGCUCGCGGCUGCAGCCACUUUUGUCACUUUUGCAUUUCAAAUGACCGUCAAUUAUCCUUUGUCGACACUCCCCUUUGUCUUUUCUCGUUCUUUUUUCCCUGAGGUCAAGGAAAACGAAAUUGAUUUUCUGCCCGAGCGACUUUCUCCUUUCUCCCCCGUGAUUUCAUGGGUAUUCGUAUGUACUAUACGGUGUACUAUACAGUGUACUAUACGGUGUGCAUUUAAGAGUCUCUUCGCCAUGUGACUUAUGCAACCGCUGGGUUCUGUCACUGCCAUGAUUUUUUUGUCGGUCGAAUGGCGCGGUGUAAAAUCAAUUUUCCCCUCGUGCUAGGCAAACAAUUAUCUGGUGGGUAAUUAAAAAAGAAAACAACAACAGCCAUCGGAACAGUGUGCAUUUUGUGCUCUCGGUGACCUCAUGACAAGUUUUAUGAUGAAAUUAGCUGCGAUUGAAGUGCUCGCAUAUAAAACGCCAUCAAACUCAAUAAAAACUCGCACUCAAAUAAUAGACAAUGGCUAAGCGCGACGACUUACGCAAUCGAGGGAUAUAGAAAUCAGGCUUUACUUGCUUUAACUACGGAAAUAGCAAGCUUAUGGUCAGCAAAUUAAAUCAUUAAUGUAUGGGGAAUAAUUAUAAAUAAGUACUGAGCCAUCGCGUUGAUUUCUUCAAAGAAUAAAACUUUUAAAAUGCUACUCGGAAUGUUUAAUAUAUACACAAUUAAGCUAUAAAUUUACAAAACAUAUACCAAUUUUCCUAAGUGAUUUACAUUAUUUUGUGUUUUUUUUUUGGCAAACCGUUUAAGCCAAAAAUUUGAACAAUUUCUUGACAAAAAAUUUAAAAUAGUUUAAUUUACUAAAGUAUUUAUUUCCCCAUUACCACAACUGCUUACAGAUUUCCCGUUUAUUUUAAUUUUUUAAGAUAUCAUUGAACAAGGGUUCUAUGCACUGUUAAUGAAAAUUACAGCCGAUUGUCUGACAGUCAGCGCACCUGAAAUCAUUUAUCGCACAAGAUCAUGUGCUGUAGCUCUCGUUUUAUCGAAAUAAUAUUAUAAUGGCAGUACGGCCACUAAUCACACGAAAUGCUUCAGGUCAUGCAUGACAAGAUUAACAAUUCCGAUACCAGCUGUUGGCCUCAAGCGGAACGGUUGCGGGGAAAAGGCGGAAUUUUCAAUUUAAGGUUGACCUUAGAACAAAAUUUGAUCGAUAAUUUCGCAUAAUUGUGGAAUCUCUCUCGCGCGCAAAAAAAAAAAGAAUAAAAACUGUGACACAUGCACACGGACACGCACAUACAUAGAGGAACGUCACCUUGAACAUUAAACUGCAACUGUGCGAGUGGGACAGUUAGCUAACAAAAGAGAGGGGGAUAGAUAAAGAGAGGUAGAUAGUUUUUGUUUGCGUCAUGUGCAACUGCAAAAGCUGCUGGCUUCCGCUGUGCGUGCGUGUGUGUGGGAGGAGAGAGCUUUAGCCGAAAGCUUGCUCUCCGGCGCUCUCUGCUUGUGGGGCCGAGUGUCACAGCUUUUUUGAACGAGCCGAGCAGCUGACAGUUGCGCUUCAGCGUUAGACCAAAGUAGUUUGACUUUUCAGUUUUUACCCGCGAAAUGAAAAGUUUGUGUGCUCUGCCCGAGCAUGAGUGUGUGUGUGUGUGUGUGGUGUGUUGUGGCAGCUGCAUUUGCAGCGAGAGACAGAAAUACAUUUUGCACAAAAUUCCGCCCUGCAUUUAGUAUAUUUCACCUUAGAGCGUCUUUGCCACACACACACAAACGCACACACACACCAGCAACGGAGAGACAGACACACACGUGGCCAUCAAAACGGUAUCGGUUCGCGUCGCGUUUGGCCUAAAAUUGUAACAGUUUUCCUUUACGACGAAAAGAAAAGCCAAAAACGCAGCUGCAGUCGACGUCGCUGCCGCUGCAAUCGCCGACGCUCGUUUCUGUGUUGGCCAAUUGCCGUUGGCCAGCUUCAGUGUUCAUUUCCCCAUCGAGUCGGCAACAACGAGCGGAAGUCGCUGAGAGGCAUUAAACACACAGCUGGCGGACAGUCGAUCGAUCCACCGAACAGCUGAUUAACUGCGUUUUCCCUACCAACAACCAACAAAACCCAUAGUGUGUUCUUACCUCCUGGAUUGCAUAAACCCAUUAAACCAAAAAACACCAAAGCAAACCCCAAGCCAAACCAAACUCGAACCCAAACCAAAACAGGCCUUCACUUUUUUUCGGUGGCGUAUACGUAAUAUCAGUCGGCUAGCUGCACAUCUGCCAUUGCAAUUGCAUUUUCGCUGGGCAUUAUGCAAUGGCACAACAAAGAGACACCCUGUAAUUGGCAUGGCGAAUAACAAAAAAUGGGAAGAAAAAAAAAUGGAAGGAAAAAAAAACAAUGGCCGUGCAAUGCGAACACUUUUUCGCUCACACACAUUGUUAAGUAGUAGUUUUUGUGUCUAGUCGGGCAAUUUGUUUAAAACAAUCAGCGAGCGGCAACUACACAGUUGUGCACGGCGGCUUUUUCUCUCGCUCGCACUUGCCGCAGUGGCAGUUUUAAAUUUAGUAUCGCUGCAGUCGCUUGUAACCCAAAUUUCGCAUCUCUCUGUGCAAUUCGCUUCUCAUCUUAUAUAAGAUGCACACAGAAAAAAAGAAAAAAACAAAAACUCAAACCCUGUUAAUUGAAAAUGGGGAUCUGCUGCUGCGCUAGUGAAAUCUCAAUCUCAAUUAAAGUCUGGCUUUCGGCGACUUCAAAAAGGGUAGAUGAAUUUCAGGCGAGGGCAAUUAAAUCGCAGGCACUUGCAAUCCGAGAGCAACAACAACAAUUCACUUACAUUUACACUCACACACUCCCACUCACACAUUCAAACACUUGACCUUGCUCGUUUUCGCCAUGUGGAAACACAGUACGUAUACGUACUGUUGGCCCGCAUGUGUGGGGGCAAAACAGCAAAUUGCAAUAUUUUGUGUAAAAAUAACGAAUCGACUUUUACAUAAGGCCAAUCGGUAAAUAGAAAAAAAUAGCAAAACACACACAGCAACCUACACACGCGAACCGCCAUACACCUGCUGUGGUGUGCGUGUGUGGGUGGGUGUUAUGAGGUCGAUUUUUUUGUUGUUUUUCCCCCGCUCGUGUGGGUGGAUGACUGAAAAAUGCAUUUGACACAUAAAACAGGCGUGCAAACACAAACAGAUAUUGUAAAGCAGAUAUUUCCAAAGCCAAAGCAAACUCAAAAGCGAACAAAAGGAGAUGAAGAAACACCGCUUAUCUUGGCAAGAGAAAUACGAAAAUAUUUUAGUGAUUCAUUGCAAAAAUCCGAGUUGAUUGAUUUGCUGGCUUGAGGGAAUACAAAAACCAGUUUAAAGCUAGACAGAUAACUUAAAAUUCAACAAAAAUUCGCUUAAAAUACCCAAAGAAUUGGCAAAAAUUUGGUAGUAAAAUACAAAACAAGUUGAAAGAUUUUUCUAAACAAAAAGUAAUAAAUUUAUUCUUUGAACUUUGAAGUCUGCUAUUCGUUAUUAACACAGCCAGCAGCGUUUAUAAAUACCGAGGUAUAUAUGUACGUUUUUAUAAACAUUCGCCAGAGUGCCGCGAAUUUUUGUUCAAUUUGCAUUUGGAUUUUGGACCUUAACUGAUAUCAGCAGCAAAAACAAACGUAAACCCCCAAUAAACAGAUAUCGUUAUGACAUCAUUGUAUGCGGCAUUCUCUGAUGGAUCAUUGAGCUGUGCUGUACAUAUAUAGAAUACUAUAUGUAUAUAGCUAGUCAACCUCACUUGUAUCGGUUAAGCCUUCUAAUUUGUCAAGCCAGCAGACUAGAAUGAUUAUCGCCUUUGCUGAUAAGACAGUCUAGCAGUCGGUAGUAUUUGUUCAGAUUUAUAAAAAGAAACCCGCAUGAAUCACGUGUUGUAUUUGUUGGCUUCGAAAGUUUCGAAAGAUUUUUCUUGAAAUCAAAUGUAUAUAGAGGUAUUUGUUGUGAAACAACGUUCUGCUGCCUUUUGGCCAACAGGGGCGACCUUCAGCCCGGACCGCAAGGUCGUUGGUGGGGAGAUGUGCGAUGUCGGUGCAGCAGCAGCCUGCAAACUACUCCGCAUGGAGGUCGAUCCACCACGUCACCCCGCCAAAGAGCCAAGCCGAAUCACUCACUCUACAGAGCGGUUAUGUAAAGGGGAAAUUGGGUCAGUGUUAUGACCCAGUUUCUGGGCGGAGAAGCCAGCCAGCCAGCAAGCCAGCAAAACCAGCAAGUUGCAGUUUGAUUAGUUUGAAAUGGGCUUUUUGGCACCUCGGAUAAUUACAAUUGAAUGGGCUUCGUGACGCCCAGCUUAUUGAUUUUCAGUCAGGGCAGUCAGGGCAGUCAGUCAGUCAGCCAGUCAGCUUAUGUAUUAUAGUAUAGCCAACCUAGAUAACUUUGGCCUGGCCCAAGUGUAUAUGGGUAUCUAUCGGAUACACGGAUACACGGCACCAUCCAUGGCCUGGCUGCAGUCGUGAGCUUAGCCAAGGAGCCAAAAAUAAAAAUUCUCUUUGGCUGCGGGCCAAAUGCAGUGCACAUUGGUUUCGCAAGGGUGUGGAUUGGAGGGCGGUUCGUUUUUGCAGGCUAAAAUCAAAAGUGAAAUGUUGCCAUGCCACAAACAACACAAAAAAAAUGCAGAGAAAGAGAGAAAGAGAGAUAGAGAGAGAGUGCAUCAGAGAAUUUAUCUAUAUUUAUUUGCCAGAAUGCUGACAUUUAUUAGUUUGCCCGUUGAAUUAAGUGAAAGAGUGCUCUAUAAAUAUGGCUAAAAUGCAGUAGCAUGACAAAUUUAUGGCCCACCGCAUAACUCAUCUAUUACCCACUUUUGAGAAACACCCUCCCCCUUCUCCGCCCCUUUGCCGCCUCCUUUUGUGUUACAAAUUCAAUGCACACUUGUGUGUCACUUCGCCUGCCACUUAUUACAUCACCCAGAAGGCAAAAGACACGAUAGGCAAUGAAUGCUUGAGGCCUAUAACGAUUUGGGUCAACCUGAACCUGCCAACAAAUCUACACACAGACACUCACGUUCACAUUCACAUUCAAACGGUUUUAUCGAUGUCUUUUCGGCCAAUUCGCCAAGUCCGUUUGUUGUUCUUGGCAGAACAGUUUAAACUUUGAUGGAUUCAGUCGUCAGUUAUUCAAAGAAAGUUGCUCAAAGUAUCUGCAUUAUUUAACUGCGAGGUUUCUAGAAAGGCAAUAAGCUUUCAGCUGGGUUUUUGGCUCCAUUUCAGUUUAAAUUUUUCGAAGAAAAUAGCUUACAAUUUUCAUUGUCAAACAGGGUUUUAAGCUUUACAAACAGAACUUAUAAAUAUUGUUAUUCCUCCAACAUAAAUUCACUCAACACGUUUCUCUGUACAGAUCCAUUUAGAAAUGACGCGUAACUAGAUUAUUUUUAUGGUCAGACCUUCCCCUAAUUCUCUACGUUUUCUUUCAUACGCACGCAGCUAUGAUCUUUAUGAUCCUCUAUUGGGUAUCACGCCUUUCACGCAUGACUCAGUUCGUUUGGUUCUUUUUAUAAUUUUAGACGAAAUUGCCACAAAAAAACCGAAAGCAAAAAACAUGUAUGCUUCAUUCAGCGGCGUUCGUCAUUAGUUAGCUGCGUCAAUUGCGGUCUCCGUUGAUUAUAAAUGCCGCUGGGGCAGCCACGUAAAUGGUGACGGAAAGCGAGAUAAAUGUUUUGGAAUUUCUUAGCCCCAGCUAAUCGUGGCCAGGCAAACUUCCAUUUACUUCCACUGUUGCCGACCGAACACACGAUCCGCUUCCGAAAAAAAAUCUGACGAAAAAGCAAACGCCCAAAAGAAAUCAUUCAACAUUCAACAUUCAAAUUUGUAUGAAUUGUGGCCAGCCAGACAAGGGCUGCCUUUGCUUUUGGACUUGUCUGGCUGUUUUUGUUGUUGUUGUUGUUUCCCGUCUGCAGAUAAAGAAUCGAAUAGCAAGCAUUCCGCGUCUGUGAUUACGUAUACGCAGCGUUUGCCGAACCAUGGGUUUUCACUACUUAGCGGGUGCGCGUGUGCUUUUGCCUACGAAUUUCAUGGAUGUAUCUGUAUCUGAGUCAGUCGAGUGUGUAUUUAGCAGAUAAUAAGUGCCGAGUCGGCGUGCGUGUUUUUUUUGUCGGUUGUGCGGCUGAUCAUGCGACCCAUUGAAACGAAAGGGGAGGGAAGGCUUAUUUUCUUUGAUACUUUUUGACUUUGAUAGCCCGACUUUUAAAGACACUAUUUGCUAUAUAACUUCAUAAUGAAAUAAUAGAUUUUUAAAGAGUUUCUAAUUAAAUAGUCUUUUUUUACACUCUAUUUGAGAGUAAAUAGAAUCUUUCCUUUUUUUUCCAUUAUGAAUUAUUUGUCACAGUUUACCAGAAAUUCAGUCGGAUGAAAAAUUGCCAUUUUCUCGCAAAUUGUUUUUCCACCUCAGCGCUGGCUUCAUGUUUCACGAUAUUCUUUUGGCACUUUGCAAUUCUUUUUGGCCAAGUCAAACAGUAAUUUAUUUAAGUAGCGUUAUGGCCCUCUAUUUCGGUUUGGCAACACUUCGGGUCACUUCCGGUGACGACAACUUCUUUGAAACUCUGCCGGUCGGCGGUAGCAGCUUUUAUGACCCAGAUAAAAGUAAACGUGUUGGUCAACACGGAAUGGCUAAAAGGGGUAUGGGAAGAGGAGGGGGAUUUCGAGGGGAGAACUGAGCUAGCGAGCGAAUGAGGGGCCAUCGGUUCAUGAAGUGCUAAUGAAAAAUGCUCAGCAUUUGCCUAAUGAAAUUAUAACUGAGCCACUAAGUGGGCCAUAAAGAGGAGCGCGUAGCCAAGCGGUAGCGAGUGGGGAAGGGGAAGUGGAUGGGGGAGCGGUAGAAUGGGGCGAGAAGGUGUUUUGGGGCAUUUUAGAAACUUUUCAUUCGACUGGCAGGUCGAGCAUGUAACCCAUUUAACAUUUAACGCACAUGGAAACGAACGAUUUGACGGGCACACAUGGAAAAAUGUGCCUCCGCACUUUGUUUCUUUAUUCAGUUAACGCUUUUUAAGCUCAUGAGCUAGCUUUUCAUUUAUCAAUACACACUUGCGCACACAGCGACACAAAUGAGCAAUAAUUUAUUUAAUUGCCCGAGCUCUUGUUCUUUCGAAAUUAGAACGCACACACACCAACACACACACACACAUAGUCUGUUCGUUGGCACGCGAUUAAAAACUAAAUGGUUACACACAUUAUGAAUUUUACAAGCUACAACUGUUUAUCUGUCAGAUAUUUCACUCUAUAUAUAUACAUAUAUAUAGUAUGUGCAUGUGUGUGCAUAUAGAUGACACAUCGCGUAUACGCAGUGUGUUUGCCGUCUUGUUCGCUCGUUUUUUUAAUUGCAAAAACUCAGUUUUUUCGUUGUACGUAGCUCCACUCGAGAUUCGUUGGAUUUUAUUCCACAACAAUUGUUAGCAUUGGUCUUGUUCCUCCACUUCUUCUUGCCUUUGUUUAUUUGGGCUCAAUGUUUUGUCCUCGUUUUUGGAUUUAUUUUCUGUUCAUGCGCCACACCUAGAGUCUAGUGAAAAUAAAAGCAGCCAAGCAAGUCGAAAUUGAAGGCUGCAUUGGCCAAACUGCACCUAUUUGCCUUUGCCAGAAUGGAAACGAAUCUCUGCUCCAGAAAGCAUUUGGAACUGCUUUGAUGAGCCAGUCACCCUGGGCACACGAAUUCCCAACGAAUUUCGGCAAUGGAUUACUUUUUGAGCAAUCCGUUUAUAAUCUCCCCGCUUAUCUUAUCGCCCCCUUGGGGAAAAUGGGUUGCCAGUUGCGUUUCCGCCUAGGUUUUACCAGCUUACAUUGCGCUGACUGAUGGCACCGAGCACAAAUCGAAACAAAAAAAAAAACCGAAACGAAUGGCAUUUGGUGACGAACAAACGACUUGUGUAACUCAAUGGUAAUCGGGGAUCGAUAAUCAGCGAUCCGCAUCGACCCACUUAAUAGCACACACACCCCGCGGGGCCCACCUACAUGCAUAUAUCGCCUCGAUCCGCUGUUCCAAUAGCUUAUCACCACUGCCAACUGCGCACCUUGGCACCUGCGACUGCUUAUCACCUGUUUCGAGAGCGAUUUGGUUUGGUGGGGAUCGGGUUCUCAGCUCAUGGUUCAUUGUACUCGGUUUCCCAGUCACAUUUCCCUUCCAGUUCCAGUUCCCUCGCCACUUUUGUUCUGCAUGCGUUUGAGCUUUGUUUUUGGUUUUUGGAGUUACCUUCGUUCUUUUUCGUUGAGUCCAAUCCAGUAAAAUAGCAGCCAGAAGAUCGAUCGACUUAUCCAAUAGCUGCCAAUGACACUGCCCCACAAAAAAAUAAUAGAAAAGAAAAACGCGACGAGGCGCCGUGCUCAACAUAGUUUUAGUUUUUAUUUCAGUCGAAAAGAAAAAUAAAAACAAUAAAACGGAUAAUGCAUCCUUUGAAGGUUUUGGGCUGCGUGUCAGGAGUGCAUUUGCACUGAAACAUUUUGAAGCAUGUAAAUGCACUAUCUGGUACGACAUUCCAGAACGUACAAUCUUCCCGAAUGCAAGAAAAUGCGAGCAAUAAAUAUAUGCAAUUUUUGUGAUAGUGUGACAUACAAAAUUCUCAAACUGAUUUUAUUAAACCGAACAUAUAAAUAAGAAAUAAAUAAGUUUACUGUUAAGAUAUACAUACUUGUAAGACACUGUUUUUUAAAUAAAGAAUUAAAAUAAAACAUAAAUAUCUUCCAUGAAGAUUUUAAACUGUA